AGCGUACACGGUGGAUGCCCUGGCAGUCAGAGGCGAUGAAGGACGUGCUAAUCUGCGAUAAGCGUCGGUAAGGUGAUAUGAACCGUUAUAACCGGCGAUUUCCGAAUGGGGAAACCCAGUGUGAUUCGUCACACUAUCAUUAACUGAAUCCAUAGGUUAAUGAGGCGAACCGGGGGAACUGAAACAUCUAAGUACCCCGAGGAAAAGAAAUCAACCGAGAUUCCCCCAGUAGCGGCGAGCGAACGGGGAGGAGCCCAGAGCCUGAAUCAGUGUGUGUGUUAGUGGAAGCGUCUGGAAAGGCGCGCGAUACAGGGUGACAGCCCCGUACACAAAAAUGCACAUACUGUGAGCUCGAUGAGUAGGGCGGGACACGUGGUAUCCUGUCUGAAUAUGGGGGGACCAUCCUCCAAGGCUAAAUACUCCUGACUGACCGAUAGUGAACCAGUACCGUGAGGGAAAGGCGAAAAGAACCCCGGCGAGGGGAGUGAAAAAGAACCUGAAACCGUGUACGUACAAGCAGUGGGAGCCUCUUUUAUGGGGUGACUGCGUACCUUUUGUAUAAUGGGUCAGCGACUUAUAUUCUGUAGCAAGGUUAACCGAAUAGGGGAGCCGAAGGGAAACCGAGUCUUAACCGGGCGUUAAGUUGCAGGGUAUAGACCCGAAACCCGGUGAUCUAGCCAUGGGCAGGUUGAAGGUUGGGUAACACUAACUGGAGGACCGAACCGACUAAUGUUGAAAAAUUAGCGGAUGACUUGUGGCUGGGGGUGAAAGGCCAAUCAAACCGGGAGAUAGCUGGUUCUCCCCGAAAGCUAUUUAGGUAGCGCCUCGUGAAUUCAUCUCCGGGGGUAGAGCACUGUUUCGGCAAGGGGGUCAUCCCGACUUACCAACCCGAUGCAAACUGCGAAUACCGGAGAAUGUUAUCACGGGAGACACACGGCGGGUGCUAACGUCCGUCGUGAAGAGGGAAACAACCCAGACCGCCAGCUAAGGUCCCAAAGUCAUGGUUAAGUGGGAAACGAUGUGGGAAGGCCCAGACAGCCAGGAUGUUGGCUUAGAAGCAGCCAUCAUUUAAAGAAAGCGUAAUAGCUCACUGGUCGAGUCGGCCUGCGCGGAAGAUGUAACGGGGCUAAACCAUGCACCGAAGCUGCGGCAGCGACACUGUGUGUUGUUGGGUAGGGGAGCGUUCUGUAAGCCUGUGAAGGUGUACUGUGAGGUAUGCUGGAGGUAUCAGAAGUGCGAAUGCUGACAUAAGUAACGAUAAAGCGGGUGAAAAGCCCGCUCGCCGGAAGACCAAGGGUUCCUGUCCAACGUUAAUCGGGGCAGGGUGAGUCGACCCCUAAGGCGAGGCCGAAAGGCGUAGUCGAUGGGAAACAGGUUAAUAUUCCUGUACUUGGUGUUACUGCGAAGGGGGGACGGAGAAGGCUAUGUUGGCCGGGCGACGGUUGUCCCGGUUUAAGCGUGUAGGCUGGUUUUCCAGGCAAAUCCGGAAAAUCAAGGCUGAGGCGUGAUGACGAGGCACUACGGUGCUGAAGCAACAAAUGCCCUGCUUCCAGGAAAAGCCUCUAAGCAUCAGGUAACAUCAAAUCGUACCCCAAACCGACACAGGUGGUCAGGUAGAGAAUACCAAGGCGCUUGAGAGAACUCGGGUGAAGGAACUAGGCAAAAUGGUGCCGUAACUUCGGGAGAAGGCACGCUGAUAUGUAGGUGAAGUCCCUCGCGGAUGGAGCUGAAAUCAGUCGAAGAUACCAGCUGGCUGCAACUGUUUAUUAAAAACACAGCACUGUGCAAACACGAAAGUGGACGUAUACGGUGUGACGCCUGCCCGGUGCCGGAAGGUUAAUUGAUGGGGUCAGCGCAAGCGAAGCUCUUGAUCGAAGCCCCGGUAAACGGCGGCCGUAACUAUAACGGUCCUAAGGUAGCGAAAUUCCUUGUCGGGUAAGUUCCGACCUGCACGAAUGGCGUAAUGAUGGCCAGGCUGUCUCCACCCGAGACUCAGUGAAAUUGAACUCGCUGUGAAGAUGCAGUGUACCCGCGGCAAGACGGAAAGACCCCGUGAACCUUUACUAUAGCUUGACACUGAACAUUGAGCCUUGAUGUGUAGGAUAGGUGGGAGGCUUUGAAGUGUGGACGCCAGUCUGCAUGGAGCCGACCUUGAAAUACCACCCUUUAAUGUUUGAUGUUCUAACGUGGACCCGUGAUCCGGGUUGCGGACAGUGUCUGGUGGGUAGUUUGACUGGGGCGGUCUCCUCCUAAAGAGUAACGGAGGAGCACGAAGGUUGGCUAAUCCUGGUCGGACAUCAGGAGGUUAGUGCAAUGGCAUAAGCCAGCUUGACUGCGAGCGUGACGGCGCGAGCAGGUGCGAAAGCAGGUCAUAGUGAUCCGGUGGUUCUGAAUGGAAGGGCCAUCGCUCAACGGAUAAAAGGUACUCCGGGGAUAACAGGCUGAUACCGCCCAAGAGUUCAUAUCGACGGCGGUGUUUGGCACCUCGAUGUCGGCUCAUCACAUCCUGGGGCUGAAGUAGGUCCCAAGGGUAUGGCUGUUCGCCAUUUAAAGUGGUACGCGAGCUGGGUUUAGAACGUCGUGAGACAGUUCGGUCCCUAUCUGCCGUGGGCGCUGGAGAACUGAGGGGGGCUGCUCCUAGUACGAGAGGACCGGAGUGGACGCAUCACUGGUGUUCGGGUUGUCAUGCCAAUGGCACUGCCCGGUAGCUAAAUGCGGAAGAGAUAAGUGCUGAAAGCAUCUAAGCACGAAACUUGCCCCGAGAUGAGUUCU
rnacentral:rRNA from 1 species